rnacentral:rRNA from 1 species
GUAGGUGGCAAGCGUUGUCCGGAAUUAUUGGGCGUAAAGCGCGCGCAGGCGGUCCUUUAAGUCUGAUGUGAAAGCCCACGGCUCAACCGUGGAGGGUCAUUGGAAACUGGGGGACUUGAGUACAGAAGAGGAAAGCGGAAUUCCAAGUGUAGCGGUGAAAUGCGUAGAGAUUUGGAGGAACACCAGUGGCGAAGGCGGCUUUCUGGUCUGUAACUGACGCUGAGGCGCGAAAGCGUGGGGAGCAAACAGGGAUUAGAUACCCUGGUAGUCCACGCCGUAAACGAUGAGUGCUAAGUGCUAGGGGGUUUCCGCCCCCUUAGUGCUGCAGCUAACGCAUUAAGCACUCCGCCUGGGGAGUACGGCCGCAAGGCUG